GUGCUCGCUUUGGUAGCAUAUAUACUAAAAUUGGAACGAUAUAGAGAAGAUUAGCAAGGACCCUGCACAAAGAUGACAGGAAAAUUUGUGAAAUGUUCCAUAUUUAA
ensembl:snRNA U6 U6 spliceosomal RNA